AUGUCUGAGAGAGCUUAUAUCAGAUCUUAUAAUUCACUUCACAAUGGCAUUGGUGUCAAGUUGAAGCUUGAUGUGAGAGAAUUGGCUAUUCGAUUUGGUUGUGUGAGGAUUAUACCUUAUGUUCGCGACGGUCUCAAGCUUUAUAAGGAUAGGUUUCUUGCUUCGUUGUCGGCUGCUCUCCGUGCUAGUGCUGAUUUUACUCGUCCGGUGUUUAUGGCUGUUGCUUUUUAUUUAUCUGCAAAGAAACAAAAGCUUAAAGUUGAUAAGAUUAAGCUAAUUGAACUUUGUGGUACUUCUGAAUCGGAAUUUUCUAGUGUAAGUAAUUUUUAG